rnacentral:rRNA from 1 species
GUGCCAGCAGCCGCGGUAAUACGGAGGGUGCAAGCGUUGUCCGGAUUUAUUGGGUUUAAAGGGUGCGUAGGCGGUCUGGUAAGUCGGCGAUGAAAGCCCGGGGCUCAACCCCGGAACUGUCGUCGAUACUGUCGGACUUGAGUAGGGUUGAGGCUGGCGGAAUGGGCGGUGUAGCGGUGAAAUGCAUAGAUACCGUCCAGAACCCCGAUUGCGAAGGCAGCUGGCUAAGCCCUAACUGACGCUGAGGCACGAAAGCGUGGGGAGCGAACAGGAUUAGAUACCCCAGUAGUCC